CAGUAGCCACGGUAAUACGUAGGGUGCGAGCGUUAAUCGGAAUUACUGGGCGUAAAGCGUGCGCAGGCGGUUCGUUAAGACAGAUGGGAAAUCCCCGGGCUUAACCUGGGAACUGCAUUUGUGACUGGCGAGCUAGAGUAUGGCAGAGGGGGGUAGAAUUCCACGAGUAGCAGUGAAAUGCGUAGAGAUGUGGAGGAAUACCGAUGGCGAAGGCAGCCCCCUGGGCCAAUACUGACGCUCAUGCACGAAAGCGUGGGGAGCAAACAGGAUUAGAUACCCCCGUAGUCCCUGUCUCUUAUAC
rnacentral:rRNA from 1 species